rnacentral:lncRNA from 1 species
GCAACACCUGGAUACAGAAUUGAUUAAGGAUAAAUUCCAAGGUAAUUUCCAAGCCAUGCUACUUCCACUUUGGCCCUUAUUCCCACUUCAUCCUAAGACCUAUACCUGAGACCACUCUGGCAUGAAAACACUUCUCCGACUGAGUUGGAAUAGGAAAUUGGCAGGUUAAAGAUUGGAUAAACCCCUGGUGGCCUUUAAAA